GACGAACGCUGGCGGCGUGCUUAACACAUGCAAGUCGAACGGAAAGGCCCUGCUUUUGUGGGGUGCUCGCGUGGCGCACGGGUGUGUAACCCGUGAGUAACCUGCCCUUGACUUUGGGAUAACUUCAGGAAACUGGGGCUAAUACCGGCUAGGUGCGCCUGCUGCUGGGUGGGGUUUGGAACGUUCCGGCGGUUGGGGAUGGAGUGGCGGGUUAUCAGCUUGUUGGUGGGGGAGUUGCUUACCAAGGCUUCGACGGGUAGCCGGCCUGAGAGGGUGACCGGCCACCUGGCGACUGCGGGACGGACCAGUGUCGAACGGGAGACAGCGGGCGGAAGUAUGGCACAAUGGGGGGGAGCCUGAUACAGCAACGCCGGGAGCGGGAUGACGGCCUUCGGGUUGGAAACCGCUUUCGCCUGUGACGAAGCGUUAGUGACGGUAAUGGGUAAAGAAGCACCGGCUAACUACGUG
rnacentral:rRNA from 1 species